CCAGCGCCAGGACUAGGAGAGGGGUGACCAAGAGGAAGCCCACUACCAACAGAGCCACGCAGCCUCCGUCAGUCAGCAGGUCUGAGCAGUAGGGGGUUGUCCCAUGAGGGCGGACCUGGUGAGAUAACAGGAGAAAGACAGCAGUUGAAAUGGCAUGGGAGUAGGAUGUCAUUGAGAACACCAGUGAUUUAAAUACUUGUUGGAAUGCAGGGAAGAACGGAUAAGGACAGCAGAUGACAUGCUCUGUGUGGUAUGUGUGUAUGAGGUUAUGGAUAAUCCUUCUCUAAGCUGCUGUCACAUGAUGUGUAAUUGUGAGAGAGUGUUAGAACAGAGGGAAUCGUGGUUUCUCCAGUCAUUAACGAGGUCGUCGGCCCACAGAAAUGUCAUCGAGUGGCAGAGGAAGCCAAACACCACCAUGACAGUGGCCGGUGUCAGGAUGGUCCCGAACACCAGUCCAGCGAGGCAGGCGUUGAUUGUGGCAAUAAUCAGGUUCUGAGCUGUCACCAGCACCGAGCAGGCCCAGCAGUCCAGGGUCCCUCGCAGCUCCAGAGGACCCUCACUGCCCCCUCCACCGCUCUCGGCUGCAGAAUAAGGAGGAGGAGUUUUGGUUAUGGCUGAGGAGACGCAGGAGGGGAGCUCUGUCACCGAGACGAGGAGGCCUGGUAAGGAAAGGCACUUCCCAAGUCAUGGAGAUGAAUGACACAACUAUCAAUCCUGAAGAGAUGAAGACUGCACAGAUAUUAAACGGAGCCACCAGUUGGUCCCGCAGGAUCUGGAUGUGCUUUAUGGACUGCAGCAGGCUGUGCCUGGAAGAAAGGUAGA